rnacentral:lncRNA from 10 species
AUACUAGGGAAGGCAUCGAGCUUGAGGAAGAGGCCCCAUUCAUCUCCGUACCCCAGGCCCUGGUACACAGCAGCUCCAGGCGGGCACGCAUCUUUGUUGUGUUCUCUGCUGACUAUAUCCUCAGCACCUAGAACUGUGUCUGUCACCUAAUAGAUGCUCAAUAAACCUGCCAGUAAUUUCAGCAAAUGAAACGUGGAACACGUCAAGGCCAGAGGAUGGAAAAGGCUCCAGUUUUGAUAAAAGGAGGCCUGCUUGGCUUGGAAUCCUCUCUCCUGCUGGUUGGGAGAUGCAAAGAUGUUUCCAGAGAGGGGCUGAUGAAUUGAGGGGAAAGAAAUGAGCCCAGUAUGAGUCCCCUUUCAGGGCUGAGCGUGUAUAAAACCAAACAACUUGGAACCGCUCCAAGAGAGGGGAUUAAAGCAACAUGUUAUUCUGAGUGAUUGCUUAAUUUAUUGAGCUGCGGCUGGAUCUGUAAUGAAAUACAGCCCUUGUAACUGAUAACCUCCUGCUGCCAUUGAACUUCUACAAUUAAGGAAUAUUUUCUGAGUUUCUCUGGAACGGCUCUGAAUUUUUAGCCUCUGUGGUAGGGUGCUUCUGAACAUUUGUUUUCCAGGCAAUUUUUUUUGAGUAUUAGGCUGAUGUUAAUAAAUAAGCAGCAUUUUA